GCGAGUCAUUGUAGUAAUACAGGCAGACGGCUCAGUAACGCGUACUCUACCUAACCUAUGGACGGGAAUAACCUCGGGAAACUGACUAUAAUGCCCGAUAGAACAUUAUACCUGGAAUGGUUUAUGUUCCAAAUGAUUUAUCGCCGUAGGAUGGGACUGCGGCCUAUCAGUUUGUUGGUGAGGUAAUGGCCCACCAAGACUAUUACAGGUACGGGCUCUGAGAGGAGUAGCCCGGAGAUGGGUACUGAGACACGGACCCAGGCCCUAUGGGGCGCAGCAGGCGAGAAAACUUUGCAAUGUGCGAAAGCACGACAAGGUUAAUCCGAGUGGUUUCUGCUAAAGGAACCUUUUGUCGGUCCUAGAAACACCGAUGAAUAAGGGGUGGUCUUUUUCUG
rnacentral:rRNA from 1 species